UACAGAGGGUGCAAGCGUUGUUCGGAAUUAUUGGGCGUAAAGAGCGUGUAGGCGGCCAUGCAGGUCAGCUGUGAAAACUCGAGGCUCAACCUCGAGACGUCGGUUGAAACCGCAUGGCUAGAGUCCGGAAGAGGAGAGUGGAAUUCCCGGUGUAGCGGUGAAAUGCGCAGAUAUCGGGAAGAACACCCGUGGCGAAGGCGGCUCUCUGGGACGGUACUGACGCUGAGACGCGAAAGCGUGGGGAGCGAACAGG
rnacentral:rRNA from 1 species